AUAACGCUUAAAAAUGGGAGGAAAUGGGGCGGGCGAGGUGAUCGUGGGAGGCAGUCUCAGUGCGGGCUGGGGGGUGGGACGUGCCGCGCGUUUUGUAUGGGGGGCAGGAGGAAGGCCGGCCCCAGAAAACAAAGGUGUCAGGGAAACGAAACGGGCCAAGCACAAACAAGGGAGCCCGCCAAUAUCUCCAAAGCAAGGUAAAGAAACAACAACAUGUCGCUGACCUGAAGAGAGAAUUUCUAUUUGGGAUAAGAUUCUCAUUCACAUCAAUGGGAUUGUUUCCGGCCCAAGGGGACAGGCCUUGCCCGGUUGAGUCUGUCAGCGACACAACACGUUAAAAUAGAAGCAGCAAAAAAUACGACUUGGAUGUAUUUUUCCAUGAUUUUUUUUUAAAUUCAGACCGUAGCGUGUCGUUGACAAAUCUUUUGUCUUUUUUCCAUACUCAUCUACUACUCCCCUUUGCGCAGUUCUUGAAGAUUGUCUCAUCAUCUCCUUUUCAUUUUGAAGUUGGCCUAAGUAAAUGCUAAAUGCAAAGAAGAUUAAACUAAUGACAAUGGGUACAGCAACCAGCCUCAUAUUUAUUUAUUUAUUUGACACAUUUUUAUACUGCCCAAGUUCUCUGGGCGGUUUACAGCAAAACAAUAAAAAGAUUAUAACAUUUCAACAAUUAAAAUUUAAAAUGUUAAAACUAUUAAAACAAUUAAAACAAUAUCUAAUUAAAAGCAUGAAUAACGAAGACAUUGAAGUGGUGGAUAGCUUCUGCCUUUUAGGAUCAACCCAUCAACAGUAAAGGAUCCAGCAGUCAAGAAAUAUGCCGCAGACUAGCACUUGAUAGGGUUGCAAUGAGGGCUUUGGAAAGGAUGUUUAAAUGUGUGUCUACACAAAUAUUAGAAUCGUUCGGACAAUGGUUUUUCCCAUGACACACUAUGGAUGUGAAAGCUAGACUUUGAAGAAGCAAGAUAGAACAAGUAUUGACACUUUUGAACUUUGGUGCUGGAGAAGAAUUUUGAAGAUACCAUGGACAGCCAGGAAAACAAACAAAUUGAUCCUAGAACAAAUCAGUCCAGAACUUUCACUCAAGGCACAAAUCACCAGCCUCAAACUAUCAUACUUUGGACACAUUAUGCAAAGAUCCAGCUCCCUUGAGAAGUCCACAAUGCUGGGAAGAGUUGAAGGAAAGAGAAGAGAUCGACCAGCAGCGAGGUGGAUGGACUCGAUCACGACAGCAAUGAAUGCAUCACUGAGAGAUCUGAAAGGCCAAAUUGAAGACAAAUCAUCCUAGAGAGAAUCUAUGUGGUCGCUAAGAGUCAACACCUACUUGAUGGCACUUAAUCAAUCAAUCAAUCAAUCAAGAGCUUUUGGCUGAUAUGGAGCACAAUAAUUGACACAUGAGAGGAAAACAUCAAGGAGAGAAGUAACACAAACAAAAGGGUCCAUAUUGGCGGUAGAAGGGCAUUUCAUAAGGUGUAAGAAUCAAGAAGCAAUGUUUAGAGAGCAGCAGCCACCCCAUAUUAGUGUAAAGGAUGAGAUGAAAGAAGCUAUGAGAUAUAUUGGUCACUGAAAAGGUCUCACCAAGAACAAUAGGGGAAAAAAUCGUUCAAGACAAAGAAUGAAGAUGCUGGCCCAUACUAGGUUAUAAGGUUUUUCUUUCACGUUGUUUUCGGAGUGAGGGAGUGGGCAAGUUUUAGAUUUUUUAAUUUUUAUUUUGGGUUUAUAGGCUGUAACUGACCCAUAUAAUGACAGAUCAUUCUACUGUUGUUUUGUAGAUGAAUAAUCCGCAUGUUACCCAUAACAUCUAUAAACAGAAAUAAUGUGUAUCAGUGCAGAGAUAUGAAGAAUGAAAAAUCCCUGAUUUGGCAACCUGUCUCAUAAGGACAUUACAAUUUUUGGCCUUAUGCUACACUCCUAAACAUACUGGCUGACAUCCUGACAAAAUUACUUGAUGGAUGUUCCACUGAAAUUAAUAGAACAAUGUAAUUAGGCCUAUUAAUUUCAAUGUGACAUCCAUCAAGUCAUUUAGUCAGGAUGUCAGACCCUUUCUUGAAAUUAUUUCCCAGUUAAAGAAUCUCCAAAUAAGUGUGCUUAGGGAUGGAAUGUACACUUAAGAGGGGAAAGUACAUAAAAUGAGUCAACAGGAAUCACAGGGGAAAUGUGGGUGCUUGGGGCAGUUCCUCUUCAUUCCAUUCACCUGCUUAGAAUAUUUUGCAUUUCAGUUAUGAGCUAUAUCUAAUUUGUAUACUGCCUCAAACUAGCGGGAGGCAGAAAGGGUGGCGCAGCCUCCUUCUCUGGCCCGCCUGCCAGCCAAAAGGCAGGAACUCCGGCGGGGGCGAGAAGCUAUGGGGGGCGGUGGAGAGGGCAGCACAGCCUCCCUCUCUGGCCCACCUGCUGGCCACAAGGCAGGAGCACCGGUUGGGCGAGGGGAACGACAGGGGCAGGGGGAUGGGGGAGAACUAGAGGCACAGAUGCUCUGCGCCCAGCCCAGCUAGUAUAACUUUAAUUAUAUUCAUUAUAUUUUGUUCCUAUUGCUGUAAUAUUGUGUUAUUUAAAAGGACUAUAGGUCACUUAAGGUGCUUACUCUAGGCUUGCCAUGCAUUAUGUUAUAUAACUCCAAACUGUUAAGACAUGUAAAUUAGAUCUGUCAGUUGUGGUUAUUAACUCUACUAAUAAAGGCACUUUGGAAUGGUCAUGAAGCUGAAAGUUUACAAAACUUGGGGUAUCAUCUUAAUUUUCUUUUCAGGCUUUGUGGAGCAAUUAAGUUUAAAUUGUUUAAGCAAACUCAUAUGAGGUGGGGGGAGGUCAACAUGUAAUAACGGAUUUGGGACAUACUCUCCCACUCUGAAAAGAAGGAAAUAAUAUCUGGUUAAAGGAAAACCGCAUAUGCAACCAAUAUAGAUGCUACAGAAAUGCACCACAUGCUUGGAAACUUUUUUCCAAGACUUGGGAUGAAAGUUAUUGUAAUACUGUAUGUAGUUUUCCUUUUUAGCAGCCAUAGCAGUGAACUUUGUUUAAAAAUUUGUAUCUGUGACACCUAGAUCAGGGAUGUUCUCAAACAUUUCCUAGAAUGACUCACAAAGCAAUGUUGCCUUGAUUUGAGAUAGUUUUGACAUGGGACAUUAAAAAACACCUUGGACCAUC